CAACCCUUAAGCCUAGCUUAGUGUUGGGAAUCUACUUCUUUUAUUAGUUGUAGUUCCUGAAAUACAACGGCGGAUUUGUAGUAUCCUCUGAGCGUAGUAAUUUUUUUCUCGCUUUUGUUAGGUGCUAUAACUCCCAGCCGCUAAACCCCCAAUUUUUUGU
rnacentral:misc_RNA from 1 species